GCCCGGGUGGCGGAAUUGGUAGACGCGCAGGACUUAAAAUCCUGUUGCCUGCAAGGGCAGUACCGGUUCGACCCCGGUCCCGGGUACCA
rnacentral:tRNA from 1 species